UCAGGAUGAACGCUGGCGGCGUGCUUAAUGCAUGCAAGUCGAACGGUCGCAAUAAGCCCCUCGGGGCAUAUUGCGAUAGUGGCGAACGGCUGAGUAACGCGUAAGUGACCUAUCCUCCGGUGGGGAAUAACUCGCCGAAAGGUGAGCUAAUACCGCAUAGUCUCCUCGUCAUACGUGAUGAGGAGUAAAGCCUUGUGUGCCGGGGGAGGGGCUUGCGUCCUAUCAGGUAGUUGGUGAGGUAACGGCUCACCAAGCCAGAGACGGGUAGCUGGUCUGAGAGGAUGAUCAGCCAGACGGGGACUGAGACACGGCCCCGACUCCUACGGGAGGCAGCAGCAGGGAAUAUUGCGCAAUGGGCGAAAGCCUGACGCAGCGACGCCGCGUGAAGGAAGAAGGCCUUCGGGUUGUAAACUUCUUUUAUAGGGGAAGAUAAUGACGGUACCCUAUGAAUAAGCUUCGGCUAACUACGUGCCAGCAGCCGCGGUAAUACGUAGGAAGCGAGCGUUAUCCGGAUUUAUUGGGCGUAAAGGGCGUGUAGGCGGCUCUCCCAGUCAGGUGUGAAAUCUCUCGGCUCAACCGAGAGGGGUCAUUUGAUACUAGAGGGCUUGAGGACAGCAAGGGGAAGCGGAAUUCCCGGUGUAGCGGUGAAAUGCGUAGAUAUCGGGAAGAACACCAGUAGCGAAGGCGGCUUCCUGGGCUGUUCCUGACGCUGAGGCGCGAAAGCGUGGGUAGCGAACAGGAUUAGAUACCCUGGUAGUCCACGCCCUAAACGUUGGGCACUAGGUAUGGGGGGUAUCGACCCCCUCCGUGCCGUAGCUAACGCAUUAAGUGCCCCGCCUGGGGACUACGGCCGCAAGGCUAAAACUCAAAGGAAUUGACGGGGGCCCGCACAAGCAGCGGAGCGUGUGGUUUAAUUCGAUGCAACGCGAAGAACCUUACCAAGGCUUGACAUGCUAGUAUUAGGACCUCGAAAGGGGAACGAUUCUGAUUUAUCAGAAAGCUUGCACAGGUGCUACAUGGCUGUCGUCAGCUCGUGCCGUGAGGUGUCGGGUUAAGUCCCAUAACGAGCGCAACCCUCGUCCUGCGUUACUCUCUCACAGGAGACUGCCCUGCAUAACGGGGAGGAAGGUGGGGAUGACGUCAAGUCAGCACGGCCCUUAUGCCUUGGGCUACACACACGCUACAAUGGGUGGUACAGCAGGUUGCGAAGGAGCAAUCCUGAGCUAAUCCUUAAAGCCAUCCUCAGUUCGGAUUGCAGGCUGAAACUCGCCUGCGUGAAGUCGGAGUUGCUAGUAACCGUGGGUCAGCACACCACGGUGAAUACGUUCUCGGGCCUUGUACACACCGCCCGUCACGUCAUGAAAGCCGGCAACACUUAAAGUCGAUGGGCUAACCUUCGGGAGGCAGUCGCCUAGGGUGGGGCUGGUGAUUGGGACGAAGUCGUAACAAGGUAG
rnacentral:rRNA from 1 species